UACAGAGGUCCCAAGCGUUGUUCGGAAUCACUGGGCAUAAAGCGCACGUAGGCGGCCAAGUCAGUCAGGUGUGAAAUACCUCGGCUCAACCGAGGAACUGCGCCUGAUACUGCUUGGCUUGAGGUCCGGAGGGGAGAGUGGAAUUCCCGGUGGAGCGGUGAAAUGCGUAGAGAUCGGGAAGAACGCCGGCGGCGAAAGCGACUCUCUGGUCGGAAUCUGAUGCUGAGGUGCGAAAGCUAGGGGAGCAAACAGG
rnacentral:rRNA from 1 species